rnacentral:rRNA from 1 species
CGUAUAUUAAAGUUGUUGCAGUUAAAAAGCUCGUAGUUGGAUUUGUGGCGACACUUGCGGUCCAAUUUUGGUACCAUCGAGUGUCGCCAUCCUUGGGUGGAAGCUGUGUGGCAUUAAGUUGUCGUGCAGGGGAUGCCCAUCGUUUACUGUGAAAAAAUCAGCGCGUUCAAAGCAGGCUUAUGCCGUUGAAUGUAUUAGCAUGGAAUAAUAAGAUAGGACCUUGGUACUAUUUUGUUGGUUUGCGCACCGAGGUAAUGAUUAAUAGGGACAGUUGGGGG